GCCUGUGUGGCUCAGUUGGUUAAGCCUCUGACUUCAGCUCAGGUGAUGAUCUCACAGUUCGUGGGUUCAAGCCCCACAUCAGGCU
rnacentral:tRNA from 1 species